AGUAGUUUGACUCCGUGGCUCGAGGACGAACGGCUGGCGGCGUGCUUAACACAUGCAAGUCGAACGGAAAGGCCCUUUCGGGGGUGCUCGAGUGGCGAACGGGUGAGUAACACGUGGGUGAUCUGCCCUGAACUUUGGGAUAAGCCUGGGAAACUGGGUCUAAUACCGGAUAUGACCAGUGGGUGCAUGCUUGCUGGUGGAAAGCCUUGUGCGGUUUGGGAUGGGCCCGCGGCCUAUCAGCUUGUUGGUGGGGUAAUGGCCUACCAAGGCGACGACGGGUAGCCGACCUGAGAGGGUGAUCGGCCACACUGGGACUGAGACACGGCCCAGACUCCUACGGGAGGCAGCAGUGGGGAAUAUUGCACAAUGGGCGCAAGCCUGAUGCAGCGACGCCGCGUGAGGGAUGACGGCCUUCGGGUUGUAAACCUCUUUCGCCAGGGACGAAGCUUUUGUGACGGUACCUGGAGAAGAAGCACCGGCCAACUACGUG
rnacentral:rRNA from 1 species